UACCCAGGCCGCGACCGGUCCGCACAUCGCGGAUAGACACUCUGCAACGUGUCACAUCACACCGCGGAAGCACAGCCCGCAGUGUAUUUUUCCAGUUUAAACAGUUAAAACGGUUCGGAACGGAGGCAGUCCUGAGUCCUACUCGCCGCCGCGAGUGGUGCUGACUGGCUGAGACAGAAGCCCGGCUUUAGGUCCGAGCACUCAAAUAUAGUACCUCCCCGUGCGCAGCAACUUUCAGGGUGGUAGCUAGGGGAGGGCAAGGGCAGCGGCUCCUUUUCGUGGUUCGUGGUUUGGGAUUAACGGAAGGAAGGAGGGGGGCCGCCGGGCCGACGGUACAGUAGAGGAGGAAGGGCCGCACCAUAGAACUGGUGUUAGGGCCAGAGGCUGCUACCCUGGAAGCCGAUGAGGCAGGGCGGGGGCCGGGUAACGAGGUCACGUCGUCGAUGUGACGAGGGCAAAACCCCAUGUCUCGUGUUCGGACGAGGUAACCAUGACGUCGUUCCUGUUUGGUAAGCACUUAGGUAACGGGCGAGGAACUUCUUUCUCGUUCUCUCGUUCAAAAGCUUAAACAGGCACGAAGGGUCAACGGAGGGUCCCCGCGUUUUAAAAAGCAGAGAACCCGACGGAUAAGACAUGGUCGUUGGUCUAGUGACCCCUUAAUCUAAAAUGUGGUCUUAACUAGAGUUCCCUAGAAAGGUGUGUAUGGGAGUACACCCACCUGGUAAACUCUCGAAUUGACUUCAAUUGCUACGAUAACUCGAGAUGGACUCCCCGGCGGUCCUCCUCGUUUACAAACACCCUAAUAGACCUCACCUCGAACGACAUGUUUUCACGGAAAUGACCGGACUACCGUCUUCCUUUUUCGUAAACCGCAGGGUUGGUUAACUAUGAUGGGCACUAAAAUUGGCGGUCGACCAACUUCGAGACCACCUGUUCAUAUUACUCCUAGUGUUGGAAAACCCCCUAGAACGUAUACUUAAGUUUCUAUAAUACACGACGGUUAGUUAAUCUCUAUAGUACAUAUUAGUUAGUAGGUCACUUAACAAACAGUAGACAAAUACACACGACCUAGGAUGACGAUUACCAAUGACAAUACCAACAGUGACAUUACCUUCAGGACUGUACUUCGUGGGUUCAAGACCAAUGUAUCGACCGGUGUGUUCAUUGCACAGACCAUCUAGAAGAUUCUAUUUGACGCCUUUCAAACUACUACUCCUGUUACUCCUGCUCGACCUUCGAGUCUUCCGAUCCAAUGCUACCAACAAACCCCCGAGACUCGACUUCGUUUAGUCCCUGGGUGUACCCCGUCUCGUUACCUCUUCUUGUCGACUCGGUCGUAACGUCUAGGUUCUAUUUACACUACUCCUGUUGUUCUUGCUCGACCUUCGAGUUUUCCUAUCCAACGUCACCUACAAGCCCAAUUCUCAUAGAUAUUGGCCUGGGGUAUAAAAAGGGUUUGCGGGCCUGCCCGACCUGCGUUUUACGGUCCCUCCGUUCGCCUUCGCUCCCCGUCGCCGCGGCACU
rnacentral:rRNA from 1 species